AGCGCUUAUAAAUAUAUCUGACUGCACAGAACAGAGCUGUUUCUGAUGGACACAAGUUCUGCUGUAUAGAUCCUCUGAGACUGGAUUUUACACUUUUCUGAUUCGGAUUUAACGGAUUCAGAUUAUAUUGUCCAAGGAAGGUAUUCAAGAGGAUCAUUCUGGCUAGAAGGUCAUGAUCCUCUUGCUGUAAACCUUAAAAUACCUCAGACCAAGACAAACAUCCCCGAGAUGGAGACAGAAACUAACAAUUGGAAUUUGCAUUAAGUCAGGUCCCAGACGAAAGAUCAUCUUUAAGGAGACAUGACUAAAUGACUAAAGGAGUGAUCUGCAGAUGAAAGACAAGAAGAGAAUGACAGAGAAAAAAGACAAGUCAAAACCUAAAGAAAACACUUUCAUAAGAGUCCUUUGGAAAAGAAUGACUGACAUAAAAUCAAACAGAAAUCUUGCCGCGCAUGCGCACAGAUGCAGCAGCUACAGACUGAUUUACCAGAAAUCACGUGAUCUCUCACACAGAUCAGCCUGAUGUACGAGAAUAAUGCACUUACUGACUGACAUUCAGUUUAAGUGAACACAAUGAUUCUUGACUCAUGGGACAACACAUGUCCAGCAAUUCUACAAUCCU